AUCGAAGAUGUGGUUGAAACAAUUACCUUGGGUAGUUUCUGUGAUUUGGGUGUAAUAGCUAUACAUCCCUGCUUUGGAUCACUCUAGAGCAGAGAGCAGAAAAUGAAACAACAAACAGCAUGAUGAAGUUAACUUGUAUCUAACUUGUUUAUUUUUCAUAAAAUUUAUAAAUUAAUGUAACGUUACCUUUGAUAUGCAAUAAAGUUGUUUUCAUCCUUA